rnacentral:rRNA from 1 species
AGUCGAACGAACGGAUAAAGAGCUUGCUCUUUUGAAGUUAGUGGCGGACGGCUUUGUAACACGUGGGUAACCUGCCUCACAGCUGGGGAUAACAUCGAGAAAUCGAUGCUAAUACCGAAUGUGCUGAACAUCAUAAGAUGUUCAAGUGAAAGACGGUUUCGGCUGUCACUGUGAGAUGGACCCGCGCUGGAUUAGCUAGUUGGUAAGGUAAUGGCUUACCAAGGCGACGAUCCAUAGCCGACCUGAGAGGGUGAUCGGCCACAUUGGGACUGAGACACGGCCCAAACUCCUACGGGAGGCAGCAGUAGGGAAUCUUCGGCAAUGGACGAAAGUCUGACCGAGCAACGCCGCGUGAGCGAAGAAGGCCUUCGGGUCGUAAAGCUCUGUUGUUAGAGAAGAACAUGGGUGAGAGUAACUGUUCACCCCUUGACGGUAUCUAACCAGAAAGCCACGGCUAACUACGUGCCAGCAGCCGCGGUAAUACGUAGGUGGCAAGCGUUGUCCGGAAUUAUUGGGCGUAAAGCGCGCGCAGGCGGUCUCUUAAGUCUGAUGUGAAAGCCCCCGGCUCAACCGGGGAGGGUCAUUGGAAACUGGGAGACUUGAGGACAGAAGAGGAGAGUGGAAUUCCAAGUGUAGCGGUGAAAUGCGUAGAUAUUUGGAGGAACACCAGUGGCGAAGGCGGCUCUCUGGUCUGUUACUGACGCUGAGGCGCGAAAGCGUGGGGAGCAAACAGGAUUAGAUACCCUGGUAGUCCACGCCGUAAACGAUGAGUGCUAAGUGUUAGGGGGUUUCCGCCCCUUAGUGCUGCAGUUAACGCAUUAAGCACUCCGCCUGGGGAGUACGACCGCAAGGUUGACACUCAAAGGAAUUGACGGGGGCCCGCACAAGCGGUGG